GACGAACGCUGGCGGCGUGCCUAAUACAUGCAAGUCGAACGAGAGCGACCGGUGCUUGCACUGGUCAAUCUAGUGGCGAACGGGUGAGUAACAUGUGGGUAACCUGCCCAUCAGAGGGGGAUAACAUUCGGAAACGGAUGCUAAAACCGCAUAGGUCUUCGAACCGCAUGGUUUGAAGAGGAAAAGAGGCGCAAGCUUCUGCUGAUGGAUGGACCCGCGGUGCAUUAGCUAGUUGGUGAGGUAACGGCUCACCAAGGCCGUGAUGCAUAGCCGACCUGAGAGGGUGAUCGGCCACAUUGGGACUGAGACACGGCCCAAACUCCUACGGGAGGCAGCAGUAGGGAAUCUUCCGCAAUGGACGCAAGUCUGACGGAGCAACGCCGCGUGAGUGAAGAAGGUUUUCGGAUCGUAAAACUCUGUUGUUAGAGAAGAACAAGUGCUAGAGUAACUGUUAGCGCC
rnacentral:rRNA from 1 species